CAAUAUCUUUCUUUCAUAUGAAGCCAGAGAAAGACUGAAUCAUGGGGAAAGAAUGGAAGACCAUCAGAGUUCUAUGCUUGAAAUUCCUAAACUAUUAACCACCCCGUUCCCAGCUAACAGCAUUUCUCAGAUUGCACGGGAAGAAAGGAGAAGUUUCCAAUGGGAUGUUAAGCUGAUUUCAACUACCUGGGUGUGAUCUCUCUUUCCUCUAGGCAGCAAGCCGGGACAGUACCCUUCUCACUCCCUGCGGACAGAUCCUGUGCCACUUCAUCCCCUCACAGCCACAUGCAGGCAGCUGUGGCUGGCAGAUUUUGGCCAUAGAUGUUGUUGCCCCAGCGUCACUCAGGGCUAAGCUCUCCAGAGGUCUGUAGCUCCAGAUGUUCCAGAAACCCGGGAACUCUCCCCUGCCCGCCAAACAAAAGCCACUCUAUCUCAUCGGCUAACGAUAGCUGUGAGAACGUCCUGGCUGAGACGCAAUAGCAAUCCUAAACUACAGCGGACCCUGACAAGGUCGGUGUUUAUUGGAGGACUCUUGUCUUCAUACCUUUUCAUUUUAUUUCAGAACCAUUCUUCAGAAAUAAGAGGCUUUCCAGAAGCCAAGGGUUACUCAGCCUGCCACCCUAUUACAGAUGCGCAGCAGAAGGAACCCUGAAGCCAACAAACAGAUCGUUUACUUUCAUUUCUAAAGAAGAACAACUAAUUUUGGAGAUGGAUGGCGGUGAUGGUUGUACAACAAUGUGAAUGUGCUUGAUGCCGCUGAAACGUAGGCUUGAAAAUGGUUACGGCUCCUAACUAAAGCAUGGAAGUUUCAAGAGAGAUGGCAGGAAUGCAGAGCAAAAGCAAAUCCUCAGCAACCCAAAAGGUGG